UACGAGGGAAAUGAUGUUUGGACCAAAUGAUAUUAAUUUGGUUGUUGUAAUCAAUUAGAAAUGUUGUGUUUAAAUGAUAUGGUUAAGUAUUUUUAUUUAUUUUGAUAUAUGAUGUAUGUGUUGUUUAUUCAAACCUGUCACCAAUGUCCGUUUUGUGAUAUCUGGUUUCUUGUUGGAAAGUGUUAUUGUUUUUAAGUGUGUUUAAAUUGGGGUGAUGUUUGUUGUUAAC
rnacentral:lncRNA from 1 species